CCUACGGGAGGCUGCAGUGGGGAAUAUUGCACAAUGGGGGAAACCCUGAUGCAGCAACGCCGCGUGAGUGAAGAAGUCAUUCGUGAUGGAAAGCUCUAUCAGCAGGGAAGAAAAUGACGGUACCUGACUAAGAAGCCCCGGCUAACUACGUGCCAGCAGCCGCGGUCAUACGUAGGGGGCAAGCGUUAUCCGGAUUUACUGGGUGUAAAGGGAGCGUAGACGGGGACGCAAGUCUGAAGUGAAAUGCCAGUGGUCAACACUGGAACUGCUUUGGAAACUGUGUGGCUAGAGUGCAGGAGAGGUAAGUGGAAUUCCUGGUGUAGCGGUGAAAUGCGUAGAUAUUACGAAGAACACCAGUGGCGAAGGCGGCUUACUGGACUGUAACUGACGUUGAGGCUCGAAGGCGUGGGGAGCAAACAGGAUUAGAUACCCGGGUAGUC
rnacentral:rRNA from 1 species